UGCGUAGGCGGAAAAUUAAGUCAGUAGUGAAAUCCCGCAGCUUAACUGUGGAACUGUUAUUGAUACUGGUUUUCUUGAAUAUAGUUGAGGUAGGCGGAAUGUGUAAUGUAGCGGUGAAAUGCUUAGAUAUUACACAGAACACCGAUUGCGAAGGCAGCUUACUAAGCUAUGAUUGACGCUGAGGUACGAAAGCGUGGGGAGCGAACAGGAUUAGAUACCCUGGUAGUC
rnacentral:rRNA from 1 species